UACGAAGGGGGCUAGCGUUGCUCGGAAUUACUGGGCGUAAAGCGCACGUAGGCGGCUUUCUAAGUCGGGGGUGAAAUCCUGGAGCUCAACUCCAGAACUGCCUUCGAUACUGGAGAGCUCGAGUCCGGGAGAGGUGAGUGGAACUGCGAGUGGUAGAGGUGAAAUUCGUAGAAUAUUCGCAAGAACACCAGUGGCGAAGGCGGCUCACUGGCCCGGUACUGACGCUGAGGUGCGAAAGCGAUGGGGAGCAAACUAGGG
rnacentral:rRNA from 1 species